CAGUAGCCGCGGGAAUACGAAGGGUGCAAGCGUUAAUCGGAAUUACUGGGCGUAAAGCGUGCGUAGGCGGUUUGUUAAGUCUGUUGUGAAAGCCCUGGGCUCAACCUGGGAAUUGCAGUGGAUACUGGGUCACUAGAGUGUGGUAGAGGAUGGUGGAAUUUCCGGUGUAGCAGUGAAAUGCGUAGAGAUCGGAAGGAACAUCUGUGGCGAAGGCGACUAUCUGGGCCAACACUGACACUGAGGCACGAAAGCGUGGGGAGCAAACAGGAUUAGAUACCCCCGUAGUCCCUGUCUCUUAUAC
rnacentral:rRNA from 1 species